rnacentral:rRNA from 1 species
CCUGCUCAAUGUAUAUAAAUAGCCGCAACUAGUGCUAAGGUAGCACAAUAAAUUGCCUUCUAAUUAAAGGAUAGAAUGAAAGGAAGCACGAUUUAUUAAUUGUGCCAAAUCAUUAAAACUAAAUUAUUUUAUAUGUUAAAAAACAAUUUCACACUUAACAGGACGACAAGACCCUGUUGAACUUAACUUUAAGUUUUACUGGGGCGGUAAAAAACUAAAUCUUUCCUACUAAUUCAAUUUAAGCUCCCACCAGAAUAAAAAUAAGUUACCACAGGGAUAACAGCGUAAUAAUUUUAUAAAGCUCUCAUAUAAAAAAUAGAUUACGACCUCGAUGUUGAAUUAAUGACCCACCUUAUAGAAACCAAUAAAAAAGAAAGUCUGUUCGACUUAUAAACCAUUACAU